AAACGUAGGAGGCGAGCGUUAUCCGGAUUUACUGGGUGUAAAGCGCGUGUAGGCGGUCCUGCAAGUGGCGCGUGAAAGCGCCCGGCUCAACCGGGCGAGGACGUGACCGAACUGCGGGGCUAGAGGCAGGUAGAGGCGUGUGGAAUUCCGGGUGUAGUGGUGAAAUGCGUAGAGAUCCGGAGGAACACCAGUGGCGAAGGCGACACGCUGGGCCUGACCUGACGCUGAGAGGCGAAAGCAUGGGGAGCGAACGGGAUUAGAAACCCCGGUAGUCCAUGCCGUAAACGAUGCUGACUAGGUGUGGCGGGUAUAAACUCCUGCCGUGCCGCAGCCAACGUGGUAAGUCAGCCACCUGGGGACUACGGCCGCAAGGUUAAA
rnacentral:rRNA from 1 species